UACGUAGGUGGCGAGCGUUGUCCGGAUUUACUGGGCGUAAAGAGCGCGCAGGCGGCUGGUCAAGUCCGAUGUGAAAGCUCCCGGCUUAACUGGGAAAUUGCAUCGGAAACUGAUCGGCUGGAAGGUGGGAGAGGGUAGCGGAAUUCCCGGUGUAGUGGUGAAAUGCGUAGAUAUCGGGAGGAACACCAGUGGCGAAAGCGGCGCACUGGACCACAACUGACGCUGAGGCGCGAAAGCUAGGGGAGCAAACAGG
rnacentral:rRNA from 1 species